CAAUUCACUGCAUCAUUUCCAGUCGAGCACCACAGGCAAUUUUCUCUCAUUCAACCAUCCGUCUACUUCCCAACCGCUUUACCUUCAAACCAGCCAGUUGAAUCGAUCUCUCAACUUGUUAAACCUAGCAACCAAUCAACCCGACCGGUCUCUGCUGGUGAGAAGAGUCGAUUGUCGAUGUUUUCUGCUGAGUCCCGCAUCACGAUGACAAUGUUGACAGCUAUCGUGGUCUUCACCUGCACCUGGCUGUUUGCAAAUGCAGACCCCAAACCGUGUCCUCAAGCCUUUGACUGUAUAAAGGUACAUGAUGAAUGAGACGAGAGACCAAGUGAACACAAAGAGGACACAACACGCACGCACUGCGAGGUGGCAGGUCUAAUGUCCGGUCAAGGUGCGGCUUGCACUUGUAGCAAGACAGCAUCUCCAACCGAGACUCGAACUCUCAGUGAGUAUAUCGGAAGCUACCUUCACCUGUCUGAGGAACCUGCGUGGAACUUGCGAUGUGGACGAGAGCAAAGUGAGCUUUAGCGAGCUGCUGCCGUAUUUCGAGAAAAUAUGUAAUGAUUCUUUCUCUGACUUUCACACGUGUGACGCCGUCGGGGGCUGCCUUGAGAAUAUCACAAUAUCUCAGAUCAUGGAAGCACCUCCAGACCAACGGAAUGCAACGUCUGGACUGUUGGUGUUAUCCGACACCUACUGUAGCGAUUUGCAAGAUUUUGCCACUUGUGUGAUAAACGAGAAGGAGGCUGGACGAUGUACAAUCUCCACAGAGUUUUUGAACUACAUCAUGGAUAUAAAACAGAAUCUGGCCAAGCUGUGUGGAAGCACUGGGUCUGUAGGUGGUCUCGUGGUUAACACAGUUCUUAUUCUGAUUGUUUCCGCCAUCGCAAGUUUUGCAAAAUAAAGCCCAAAACUCAGAAGUGUUCUGAUUUUCAAUAUAUAUGAACUGAAAA
rnacentral:misc_RNA from 1 species